UCGAACGAUGAACCUCCUUCGGGAGGGGAUUAGUGGCGAACGGGUGAGUAACACGUGGGCAAUCUGCCCUUCACUCUGGGACAAGCCCUGGAAACGGGGUCUAAUACCGGAUACGACUACCGACCGCAUGGUCUGGUGGUGGAAAGCUCCGGCGGUGAAGGAUGAGCCCGCGGCCUAUCAGCUUGUUGGUGGGGUGAUGGCCUACCAAGGCGACGACGGGUAGCCGGCCUGAGAGGGCGACCGGCCACACUGGGACUGAGACACGGCCCAGACUCCUACGGGAGGCAGCAGUGGGGAAUAUUGCACAAUGGGCGAAAGCCUGAUGCAGCGACGCCGCGUGAGGGAUGACGGCCUUCGGGUUGUAAACCUCUUUCAGCAGGGAAGAAGCGAGAGUGACGGUACCUGCAGAAGAAGCGCCGGCUAACUACGUGCCAGCAGCCGCGGUAAUACGUAGGGCGCAAGCGUUGUCCGGAAUUAUUGGGCGUAAAGAGCUCGUAGGCGGCUUGUCACGUCGGAUGUGAAAGCCCGGGGCUUAACCCCGGGUCUGCAUUCGAUACGGGCAGGCUAGAGUUCGGUAGGGGAGAUCGGAAUUCCUGGUGUAGCGGUGAAAUGCGCAGAUAUCAGGAGGAACACCGGUGGCGAAGGCGGAUCUCUGGGCCGAUACUGACGCUGAGGAGCGAAAGCGUGGGGAGCGAACAGGAU
rnacentral:rRNA from 1 species